AUUGAACGCUGGCGGCAUGCCUUACACAUGCAAGUCGAACGGUAACAGGUCUUCGGAUGCUGACGAGUGGCGAACGGGUGAGUAAUACAUCGGAACGUGCCCGAGAGUGGGGGAUAACGAAGCGAAAGCUUUGCUAAUACCGCAUACGAUCUCAGGAUGAAAGCAGGGGACCGCAAGGCCUUGCGCUCACGGAGCGGCCGAUGGCAGAUUAGGUAGUUGGUGGGAUAAAAGCUUACCAAGCCGACGAUUUGUAGCUGGUCUGAGAGGACGACCAGCCACACUGGGACUGAGACACGGCCCAGACUCCUACGGGAGGCAGCAGUGGGGAAUUUUGGACAAUGGGCGCAAGCCUGAUCCAGCCAUGCCGCGUGCAGGAUGAAGGCCUUCGGGUUGUAAACUGCUUUUGUAUGGAACGAAAAGACUCUGGUUAAUACCUGGGGUCCAUGACGGUACCGUAAGAAUAAGCACCGGCUAACUACGUGCCAGCAGCCGCCGUAAGAC
rnacentral:rRNA from 1 species